UGUAAAGCUCUUUUAGUCGGAAAGAAAGAGUUGCAAUGAAUAAUUGUGAUUUAUGACGGUACCGACAGAAAAAGCACCGGCUAACUACGUGCCAGCAGCCGCGGUAAUACGUAGGGUGCGAGCGUUAAUCGGAAUUACUGGGCGUAAAGGGUGCGCAGGCGGUCUUGCAAGUCAGAUGUGAAAGCCCCGGGCUUAACCUGGGAAUUGCGUUUGAAACUACAAGGCUAGAGUGCAGCAGAGGGGAGUGGAAUUCCAUGUGUAGCAGUGAAAUGCGUAGAGAUGUGGAAGAGCAUCGAUGGCGAAGGCAGCCUCCUGGGUUAACACUGACGCUCAUGCACGAAAGCGUGGGGAGCAAACAGGAUUAGAUACCCUGGUAGUCCACGCCCUAAACGAUGUCAACUAGUUGUCGGGCCUUACUAGGCUUGGUAACGAAGCUAACGCGUGAAGUUGACCGCCUGGGGAGUACGGUCGCAAGAUUAAAACUCAAAGGAAUUGACGGG
rnacentral:rRNA from 1 species